AUGACGGCCACAAACGCGGCGACGGCGGCGGCGUCGGACGCGGAGGCCAGGAGCAUACUCGAGCGGGCCGCGGCGGCAUCCUUCCCGCCUCUCCACGCCGUCCACCACCUCCUCUCCGUCGGGGUUUGUGUGCGAUGCAUCUUUCGCAUGUUUGGAGCCUUUAGCCAUGCCUGCUUAUGUGCGUCUCUUACGGUCUCUUUCUUCCAUUCAUUUCUUGAAGAGCAUGAUGAUUCCGCAAAAGGCGGGUCUUGCUCAUGUUUGUCAACGGAUGAAGCAUGCUGCUCUAUUUGCUUUGGAAUAUUGCUACCCACCUGCCAUAAGGAUGAGGGUGUAGUACCGUUUGAUGACAUUUCUCGUAUCGACAUAAUUACUUCAAUGGUAUCUCAAGCAAUACAAAGAGAGGGUUAUCAAAUUGAUGGGUUUUCUUUAGAAAUUUCACUGCCUGCAGUUGUAGCAGCGAAUGAACGUGCCAUCAGGUUAUAUAUGAAAGAAAAAUAUGGCAGUGAAAAUUGGUUCAAGGACGAAAUAUUUUCUCAACAAACGAUGUCAGUGAAGGAGGGUCUGAGACUGCUGAUAGUACCAUCGCUCGAGAAACAACUGGGUGUUAAGCACGGUGACAAUUCAUUUCGAAUUCGCUUAACAUAUACUCAUGAUGAUGCUUCACUGAAGCUCAAACGUUUAUUGCCAAAUGACAGUAACCGUAAAAGGAAAGCAGAGUCAAGAGAAGGAAAUGAUACUAGAAGGAACUCAACAUAUGAUGAUAAACAGACAUUAAGUGAAACAGAUUCAUUCAUCCACAAGUCCCUCGAGGGUAUUCAAGAUCAAGAAUUCUGUAGUUUAUUUGAGUUGCCUCCUGAAAAGGUGUCCAAACCUUGCCAUCUUGUGAUGACCUUCCUAAGGUCGCCCAUAUAUAUUGGCGGAAGAUACUUGAAGCUUUCAAGAAAUGUCAGUCAGUCAUGUUGGAUAAUUGAUGAUGAAAGAAUGGGGGAAGCAUCAGUUGAGGAGAUAAUUAAAGAGAGUGUAUGUGCCAUCUCCAGAGGUGAUGGCUACAAGUUCCAUGCUGCUGGAAGAGAAGAUAUCGAUGUACGGAUGCUUGGAUCUGGUCGUCCAUUUCUAAUUGAAGUCCUGAAUGUGCGAUCGAUUCCAUCUGCGAUUGAAAUUCAACAAAUUUCUGACAAGAUUAAUAGCUCCGAAAAGAAACAUGUCAGAAUUAGAAAUCUCAAGUUGGUAGACAAUGAAAUAUGGGCCAUGAUGCGUGAAGGGGAAGCAGAGAAGCAGAAGCAGUAUGCUGCCCUCAUAUGGACUUCUAGUCCUCUGACGGAUGAUGACCUGCAGAAAAUUUCUGUUAUUAAGGAUAUGGAAAUUGUACAAAAUACCCCCGUAAGGGUUCUUCACCGAAGAAGCCCGUUGGAGCGGAAACGGAUUAUACAUUGGAUGGAGAUUGAGAAAGUUGAAGGCAGCUCAAACUAUUACUUGUUGCAUCUCUGCACUCAGGCAGGAACAUACAUUAAGGAGUUUGUGCACGGUGAUCUUGGACGCACAAAUCCGAGUAUUGGUUCCAUGCUACGUUGCAGAGCCGAGAUACUGCAACUCGAUGUCACGGACGUUAAGAUGGACUUGCUGCAAUAG
rnacentral:rRNA from 1 species